rnacentral:lncRNA from 1 species
GAGAACUUUGUGCACAGAAUCUGUAAUCUGGUCUCGGCCCUGCCAGUUUGGGGAUGGGUAUCCUCCACGGUAUCACCAACUGGUACCAAGGGCUCAAAUAUCUGAACCAAUGGGGGAUCACUCCCAUUCAAACCACUACUGCCUCUAAUGCAUCUACAUGAAGAAGUCAGGCUUAGAGAAAGACUCAGUCUUGUGGGGAAAAGAUUUCAGCAUGUGACAGGUUUUCUGCUCUCUCAGUAUAAUUACUAGGUUGGCUUCAGAAGACAAUACCAAAGGACAAAUAUGUAUGACAAGAUGACUCAGCCCCCACCUCCAUGUGAGUGUCUCUUGGUGGGUUCAGAACUCUUCUGUCCCAGUUUGUUCCCCUGCAGAACUUGGAAAGGUCUCAUAAUUAAUAGUUUCUCAACUUUCACAAGAAUCUAAUUUUGGCAUAAAAAAAAACAUUUGUAAAGUC